CGUUGUUGUCGAAGUUAUCAGGUUCCGUAGUCAAUUCGCUUUGAUUUUUUCGCACUGCCCUCAAAUGCAAGCGAGCAGCGCUACGUAUACGGCGUACAGCUCCCAUACGAUACAAAAGUGCGAUCCAAAACAAUUCGAUCCGUUUCCGUUUGUCAGUGCCUAGAAAGCCGUCGCACUGGCAGAGACCAUUAACCGAAUUGAUCUAACUGGGAAGUGGCAAGGAAUAACUAAGUGAAAAUGUGCCCGAAGUGCGAAAUGCUAUCAAUUAAACAGUAGAAAACAAGGACGAGUGACCACACCCGGAGGUGGAAGAAAGCCGUGUCCUCCGCCGGACAGUGUCCGGCUGUCAGUUGGUCAAACAGUUCAUCAAUAAACGAUUCGACUUCCGUUUCAUUGCGUGUCCCUAAGCUGUGCAUGUCUGCGUGUCCCUGUGUCUGUGUGAGUGCGAUUGUGUGUGUGCCAGCUGAGCGUGUUUGUGUGUGUGUGUGUGUGGGAGCUAAGGAAACUUUUCAACUUCCGGCCAAGUGACUUGGAUUUAAUUUCUUUGGCUUUUUUAUGGUCAAGGCAUUUAAUUAAUUUUACUAUGGCAAUUUGAUCGUCUGCUGGCCUGAACUCUGACCCCAGCCCAUAACCCUGUGGCAUACACAAAGCAAGGAGGCGGAAAACGGACGAGCGGUAGGAGGAGCCAGCCACACCCAUUUCCACCGAACAAUUGAGAUGUAAUUUGCACCGCAGGUGAACUUCAACUCCAACGUUCUGUGAUAGACGAGUAUACGAGCAGGAACUCCCAUUGGGAUUCCGCCACCACCAGUCGAUAUCGAUUCCCGAUUCAAUCAAAUUGGAUCCCGAGUCUUAACUUUCGGAGCAGCAAUCAGAAACAGCGACAAACUGUCGACUCUGUCGAUCCGCAACUUCUCGGCAAACAUGCUGAACAAUCUUGGGGCCAAUGUGCUGGGCCCCAAGGAUUGUGAUCUGCCCAAGGCCGCGCUGACAGCACUGCACGCGGGCGUCAAUAGUUUUGGCCAACUGCCUGUGGGCCCCAACUUGGCCGAUCUCGGCGGCGGAGCGGGAGGCGGUGGAUCCUCCGGCGGAGUGCCAGUGGGCGGGGGCGUGGCACGCCUGCACAUUUCCGGCGGACUGUGCGACAAUUCCAAUGCGCUGAACGGCGGAAACGGAAGCAGUGGCAACGGAAACGGCAACAACAACAACAACGGCAACGGCAACAACAACAACAGCAUGCAGCAACAGGAUCAGCACCUGGACAAAAACAAGCAGAAGCGCCACCGCACCCGCUUCACGCCCGCCCAGCUGAACGAGCUGGAGCGCUGCUUCUCGAAGACCCACUAUCCGGACAUCUUCAUGCGCGAGGAGAUCGCCAUGCGGAUCGGCCUCACUGAGUCCCGCGUCCAGGUCUGGUUCCAGAACCGCCGUGCCAAGUGGAAGAAGCGCAAGAAGACCACCAACGUCUUCCGCACGCCGGGCGCCCUGCUGCCCUCCCAUGGACUUCCGCCGUUUGGGGCCAAUAUAACCAAUAUCGCCAUGGGCGAUGGUCUCUGUGGCACGGGAAUGUUUGGCGGAGAUCGCUGGAGCGUGGGUGUCAACCCGAUGACGGCAGGCUUUGGCCAGCUGAAUCAGUCGUCGCCACUCUCGUCCUCGCUGAACAGCGGCCUAAACUCGGGCAUUAACAUGGGUUCCGCCUUGGGAGCGGGCAGCUAUCAGCACUACGGUCUGAAUGCUCUAGGCGACUCCAUGAUGUACCAGCACAGUGUGGGCGGGGUCAGUUGCGGGCCCAGUGGUUCGCCGAGCGCCACCACCCCGCCGAACAUGAACAGCUGCUCCUCGGUGACCCCGCCGCCACUUUCCGCGCAGCCGAACUCCAGCCAGAACGAGCUGAAUGGCGAGCCCAUGCCGCUGCACCAGCAGCAACAACAACAGACUCACCAACAUCAGCAGCAGCAAACUCACCAACACCACCCGAUGGCGCCACCAACACCCACACAGCAACAACAGCAGCUUCCGCAGUCCAUGCAGUCGCCGUCAGAUGGCGCCAACGAUACACUCCACAGCAUCGCAGCGCUGCGGCGGCGGGCUUCGGAACUAAACGCGAUUCCUUCCUACCUACAGAUGGCGCCACACAACUACGAACACUACAAUUCGAAUUCCAAUUCGGUCUACUGAAAUUUGUUGAAGAGCUUCGAAAGCUUUUCGGAUUACGGGUGAAAAGCCGACCGUUGGGGAUUCAAAUUGCGAGGCUGCGCCAGCGAAGCGUUAUAAGAUAACCAAAACCUAGGCCCAGGCUUAGGGCAAUUGUACAAUUUAUGUGUUUGCAUUAUUUGUUUCAUGAUUUCCAGGACUAAACUUAAAAGACUAUGAUGAAUGUAAACCAUGUAUACGAGAAACGAAGCUUGCGAGAGCACUAACGAUUUAUUCGAAGCUAGGACCUAAGCCAACUAUGAAACUAUUCCCGCAUGAAUUGUAGACCUAGAUUAAAGAUUAACGUAACAUUUGCCGUAUACGACAGCUGUAUAAACUGGACCGCCAGCGAGGAUGGAUCGAAAAGUAUCCUCGGGGCGUCACAAUAAUUUUUGGCCAGCCGAAUUGCGCGGAACUCGCGCCUAGUUCGUACUUAAGCAUAAUUACGCCUAAUUGUUUAGGAGUGUAUCAUAUCGAACGAGCAGCCCCGACUAUAGCAAACUGUAACUGCAAACCAGAUUAACCAAAAUCGCGGCUCAAGUCUCUCAUAACAAAACCGAAAACCGAAAACCCAAAACCGAUUCAGAGUGCACGCAUCCAAUGGAUUACUUUUACGAUUACCAAUUACAAAUUAUACAAUUACAAAUACCACUAUAUAUACAUACAUGCGUACAUGGCAUACUUGUAAUAGACUUUCUUGUAUCGUUUAAGCCUAAAUUUAAAUCCAACUAAAACAAAAAAAAAAAAACGAAACACAAUUACUCUGUAUGUAAUUAUGCGUAUUAUUAAAUAGUAAACUAAAUUAAAAGCUGAACGUGAUUUGCAUACC
rnacentral:misc_RNA from 1 species